UACGUAGGGGGCUAGCGUUAUCCGGAAUUACUGGGCGUAAAGGGUGCGUAGGUGGUUUCUUAAGUCAGAGGUGAAAGGCUACGGCUCAACCGUAAGUAAGCCUUUGAAACUGGGAAACUUGAGUGCAGGAGAGGAGAGUGGAAUUCCUAGUGUAGCGGUGAAAUGCGUAGAUAUUAGGAGGAACACCAGUUGCGAAGGCGGCUCUCUGGACUGUAACUGACACUGAGGCACGAAAGCGUGGGGAGCAAACAGG
rnacentral:rRNA from 1 species